rfam:Salmo salar isolate Sally breed double haploid chromosome ssa11, whole genome shotgun sequence.
CUCUUCCAUGACUGUAAGUCGCUUUGGAUAAAAGCGUCUGCUAAAUUGUAUUUU